AGCUCCAAUAGCGUAUAUUAAAGUUGUUGCAGUUAAAAAGCUCGUAGUUGAAAUUGGGCGCGGCUGGCCGGUCCGCCUCACGGCGCGAACUGGUCUUGGCCGUGCUUUCCUCUUGGGCCGCCCGAGAGCGCUUCAUUGUGCGCUCGGGAUGGCCCAGGACUUUUACUUUGAAAAAAUUAGAGUGUUCAAAGCAGGCAUUUGCUCGGAUACAUUAGCAUGGAAUAAUAGAAUAGGACGUCGAUCCUAUUU
rnacentral:rRNA from 1 species